UACGAAGGGGGGCUAGCGUUGCUCGGAAUCACUGGGCGUAAAGCGCACGUAGGCGGCUUUUUAAGUCAGGGGUGAAAUCCUGGAGCUCAACUCCAGAACUGCCCUUGAUACUGAGGAUCUUGAGUUCGGGAGAGGUGAGUGGAACUGCGAGUGUAGAGGUGAAAUUCGUAGAUAUUCGCAAGAACACCAGUGGCGAAGGCGGCUCACUGGCCCGAUACUGACGCUGAGACGCGAAAGCGUGGGGAGCGAACCGG
rnacentral:rRNA from 1 species